AGAGAGAGACAUGCGCGCAUAUCAAUAAGCGGAGGAAAGAAACUAACAAGGAUUCCCUUAGUAACGGCGAGUGAAGCGGGAAGAGCUCAAAUUUGAAAUCUUCAAGGUUUUACCUUGACGAAUUGUAGUUUAAAGAAGUGUUUUCUGCUGAAGUUUUGGUAAAAGUUCUUUGGAAUAGGACAUCAUAGAGGGUGAGAAUCCCGUAUUUGACCAUUAUUUUCAGCUUUGUGAUACACUUUCAAAGAGUCGGAUUGUUUGGGAAUGCAGUCCAAAAUGGGUGGUAAAUUUCAUCUAAAGCUAAAUAUUGGCGAGAGACCGAUAGCGAACAAGUACCGUGAGGGAAAGAUGAAAAGAACUUUGAAAAGAGAGUUAAACAGUACGUGAAAUUGUCAAAAGGGAAGCGUUUGACACCAGUGUUGUUUUCUCGAAAAUCAAUUAAAAAUGGCUCGAUUUUGUAUUGCUUGAGACCUUAAAAGCUCACUGUACAUUUUUCGUGUCUUUUUUAAUGCACUUUUCGUUUAACAAGUCAACAUCAGUUUCUUUUGUUGUAAAAGGGUCAUUGGAAGGUGGCUUUCUUUUCGGAGAAAGUGUUUAUAGCCUUUGGCCUCUGCAAUCGAAGAGACUGAGGUCUGCAGCGUAGACUCUUCGGGGUUAGAUACAUUUGUGCUAAGUUAUAGCUUUUUAUAGACAACUUGUUGACUAUAAUUAGUCUUGUAGCUUACUCGCUUAUGCUAUUUUACCUACGCUUAGGAUGUUGAAGAUGUAGCACAUCAU
rnacentral:rRNA from 1 species